AUGCUGUGGUUUGUCUUCAGAAAAAAAAAAUAUUUUGCCUUUUACUAAAGAUUUCCGUGGAGAGGAGCAAAACUGAGUUUUAUCUCUAUUUUUGCAUGUCCUAUCUUAUUGGGGUU